GGCAGCCCUGAUCCAGCAAUGCCGCGUGAGUGAAGAAGGCCUUCGGGUUGUAAAGCUCUUUUGUCAGGGAAGAAACACCGGCUCUAACACAGUCCGGGAAUGACGGUACCUGAAGAAUAAGCACCGGCUAACUACGUGCCAGCAGCCGCGGUAAUACGUAGGGUGCGAGCGUUAAUCGGAAUUACUGGGCGUAAAGCGUGCGCAGGCGGUUAUACAAGACAGGCGUGAAAUCCCCGGGCUUAACCUGGGAAUGGCGCCUGUGACUGUAUAGCUAGAGUGUGUCAGAGGGGGGUAGAAUUCCA
rnacentral:rRNA from 1 species